rnacentral:tRNA from 1 species
UGGGAUAUAGUGUAAUGGUAACACAGCAGAUUCUGGUUCUGCUUUUGGGGGUUCAAAUCCCUCUAUCCCAG